rnacentral:rRNA from 1 species
CGUGUCUCUAGUGCCAGCAGCCGCGGUAAUACGUAGGUGGCAAGCGUUGUCCGGAAUUACUGGGUGUAAAGGGAGCGUAGGCGGGGCGGCAAGCAAAAUGUGAAACUGAUCGGCUCAACCGGUCAUUGCGUUUUGAACUGUCGCUCUUGAGUGGAGUAGAGGCAGGCGGAAUUCCUAGUGUAGCGGUGAAAUGCGUAGAUAUUAGGAGGAACACCAGUGGCGAAGGCGGCCUGCUGGGCUUUUACUGACGCUGAGGCUCGAAAGUGUGGGUAGCAAACAGGAUUAGAUACCCUGGUAGUCCACACCGUAAACGAUGAUUACUAGGUGUGGGGGGUCUGACCCCUUCCGUGCCGCAGUUAACACAAUAAGUAAAUCCACCUGGGGAGUACGACCGCAAGGUUGAAACUUAAAUGAAUUGACGGG